GAUGAACGCUAGCGGGAGGCCUAACACAUGCAAGCCGAGCGGUAGAGUCUCUUCGGAGACUUGAGAGCGGCGCGCGGGUGCGGAACACGUGUGCAACCUGCCUUUAUCUGGGGGAUAGCCUUUCGAAGGGAAGAUUAAUACCCCAUAAUAUACUGGAUGGCAUCAUCUGGUAUUGAAAACUCCGGUGGAUAGAGAUGGGCACGCGCAAGAUUAGAUAGUUGGUGAGGUAACGGCUCACCAAGUGAGCGAUCUUUAGGGGGCCUGAGAGGGUGAUCCCCCACACUGGUACUGGGCCACGGACCAGAGUCCUACGGGAGGCAGCAGUGAGGAAUAUUGGACAAUGGGUGAGAGCCUGAUCCAGCCAGCCCGCGUGAAGGACGGCGGCGCUAUGGGUUGUAAACUUCUUUUGGAUAGGGAUAAACCUAGAUACGUGUAUCUAGCUGAAGGUACUAUACGAAUAAGCACCGGCUAACUCCGUG
rnacentral:rRNA from 1 species